CGUAUAGUGUUCUAAAUAAUUUCUCUCAUCGUCAAAAUGCCAAAAGUUAAAAAUGAAAAUUUAAAAAUAAAAAAAAUCAUAAGAGAAUUUGGUGGAAAUGUGCUUAUGACUGACGGAAAUAUUAUAUUUUGUAAAUUGCGUGAAGUCUAAAUAAAUUCUGAUAAAAAAUAUAACGUUCAACAACAUAUUGGCAGAGAAAAACACAAAGAAGCAUUGAAAAAACUUGAAGCUACAAAACAUAAUGCAGUUCCGCCAUUCAUUCAACAAUUUUACGCCGCGCCGUAUAUGAAAAAAGCUGGCCGCUGUAUUCAAACACUGUAUCUAAAAGCUUUGCAUGUGACAUGCUUAGCUCAUGCCCUCAAUAAUGUAUGUGAAGAAGUGCAUGCACAUUCCCCAAAAGUUGAUGGUCCCAUUGCCGAGAUGAAAACAUUUCUGAAAUGUCCAAAACGGAUCGCUAUUUUAAAUAAAAAAUGUCCGGGUAUUCCAAAUCCACCUAAACCAAUCACUACUCGCAGUGGCGUGGCGAACUAAAAAUUUUCCAGAGGCCAGCUACAAUUAUCCCAAGUAUUUAUGCAUAAUAAUGUAUUAAUGUAAUAUAACAAGUUAUAUUUCAGAUCGUUAUUGACUACCUAUUGAGAAUAUCAAAUUAAAUUUACUAGGGGACCCACUGGCUACCACCCACCCCUCUAUUUAAGAAAAAUUUCAGAGGCCAAGGCCAAGGCCUCUGAAAUUACCGUUCGCCACGCCACUGACUACUCGUUGGGGUACAUGGAUUACAACAGUCGAAUAUUAUUGCACAUAUUUAAAUGAAAUAAAAAGUGCAGUUGAAGAAUUCAGCGAGAAUGCCUAGUGUGUGAAUGUUGUAAAAGAGCUUAUAAAAGAUCAAUAUCUACAUUCAAAUCUCGUCUAUAUUACAACAAAUUUUGGAUUUAUACCACAUGCAAUUACACAAUUAGAAAAAAGAGUAUAGAUAUUGUGUUAGAAGCAAAACAAAAGUUAAAGGAAGCUAAUGGUGAAGUAGCGAAAUUGAUUUUAGAAAAGUGCAAUCGUGUUUUUUCAAAGAACAAUGGAUGGGCAGAACUUCAAAAAGUCAAUAGUAUUCAUAAUGGCACUGCACUAAACGUAAAUGUGGAACAGUAUGAUUCAAAUGAUUUAGUUUAUAUGAAAUAUGCACUGAUUACAUCGGUUGACGUGGAAAGGUCUUUUUCUAUGUACAAAAAUAUAUUAUACUUAGUUCAGGUUAAGAUUGAACCAGCUUCGCGCAUGCAGACUGAGCCGCCGAACAGUGCCUGACUCCCCAUGCGAUGGCUAUGCAUUUUGUGAUUGGCUGACAGUCAUCGCUGGCCGUCGUCGAUCGUAGUCGCCGGUACUGGCCGCCGUGCAUACGCUCCCACCAGUGUCUGGAAUGCGCGAAAAACGUGUUUUGGUCGAGAGAGCGGUUCAAUCAUAAUGUGAACAGAGUAUAGCACCCAAUAGAAUGAGUUAUAAUGAAAGUUAAAGAAAAUUCCAUUUUUAAUAUUUAAUUGUAUGUGUAAUUGAAAUUUUGUUUUUUUAGAAUUAAAUUAAUAAAUGUUUUUUUGGCUACUUAAAAUGCUUUUUUAAGGAUUCAUUAUGCCAAAAAAUCCGAGCCCUAAUAAUAAGAUUAGCGGGAACUGGUUGGGGGGCAGAUAAAAAGACCCUGAGAACAGCGACCAUGGCACUGGUCUACAGUACAGCUGAGUACAGUGCCCCAGUAGAUAGCUCACAACAGUAAAACGAAUUGACGCACAAUUGAAUGAAGCUAUGAGAAUAAUAAUAGUUCCGUAAAGUCGACUCAAACAUAGUGGUUGCACGCCUUGUCAAACAUUACUCCACCUCAUAUUCAAAAGAAUAAAUCAUUGGUCAUGACAAUAAAGAAAUGUUAAGAGAACAAAAACUCAUUACUGUACCAAAUAUUAUAAGUCCCAUCAUCUAGACUCAAAUCAAGUGGGUUACAUGUGUGUCACUGCUGAAAAUUUAAGAAGUUCAAUCUUCUGUGGCUCCGUGACAUGGAAAAAGGAAUAGGCAGUCUGAAGUCAGAAACCAGGAGCUUGUAGAUAACCCUUGUAAGAUGUUAGAGGGAAUGUAUCUACCAACGCAAACAUUGCUGUCGGUGAAUCGCAUCAGAACAGGGCAAGGUAGGUGCAGACACCUUUUACACAAAUGUAAGUACAGAGAUGAUCCUUCGUGCGACUGCAAGGAGACCAAACAAACAAUGGAUCACAUAGUGCGGAGGGUUCAAAACGACUCUUUUCUCAAGGACUGACUGACAUCCACAACGUCAAUUGAAGUAAAUAAUUGUUGUGAUAUUAGACAAGUGAGUUUUCAGUGCAUGUACAACAAUAAAUUCUAUCCUCAAAUGUUAAUAAGUAUUAACAUACUAAC